CCAACCGAUUAACGUGUUUCCCUCUUCCCACAUUUACUCUUUUUUUCUCUUUCUCUUUCUUUCCAUCUUUCUUACACACACAUGUACAUACACAUUCUGUAUCUAAUGUUUGAUGCGACUAUUUAGACUUUGACUAUUCCAAGACUUUCUUUCCAUCAAUUUCGGUGAAGAAUUUUCUUACAUAGAUAGAUACAUAUAGUCAUAUUGAAGAACUUCCUUCUCACAGGAUAUGGGAUGACCGCAGUUAUUAGUGUAGCACAGUAGAGCUUAAAGGUAGAAAAAUGGCUCUUGCUGGGAUUAAUAAUGUUUCGGUUCUUGAAGCUCCUUAUCUUGGGGAAAAUUAUUCUUCUGUAUCACUAACCCGGACAUCUAUUAUCCGGAAAAUGUGGCGGGAUCUCGAAAGUGAAAACAGAACCAGGGAGACUCAAAGACAACAAACUGGUGGGAUGGCAGAUGGUAAUACAGGAAGUCAAUGCUCAUGUUCGUCAGAAGGUGCUGAAAGUGAAGAUGUGUCAGUAACUACCAGUGAAGCCGAAAAUGAGCGUCCCAGGGACCAGAACCAGAUGGAAAUUCAGAGUGGACAAGAGAAUAAUGUGAACUUGUGCAUACAGCGUUCUGCAAUUGGUGUAGCUGACAAAGAGCGUGUGAGGCAAGUUUUUCGUGAGUGGGCAAGUAAAAAUGGUAGUGGGACUGCGGCAUGGAAUGUUUCACAUAAGACCAACAUUUCUAGGGAUCAAUCGCCUUGUGAAACUGAAUGCAAGAAGGUGAGGGCAGUUAGGCAAUGGAUAGAGUCAAACCCUCAGCAAGAAACUGGCCGCCCUGUCAUUGAUGAACAAGCUCCAGAAACUGGUUGUCAGGUCGAACAAGUAUGUGGUGGAUCAGGUGUCGAUCAUACUCGGGGUGGUGUACGAAGGCCCGUCCGAGGCAGACAGGCAUUUCUUGACUUACUAGCCAGGUUUGAGACGGAAAGGGCAAAAGAAAUGCAGAUUUUGUUGGAAAGUCAGUUGGUAUCAAAAUUUUCUCAUCGGAACCGUAUACAGGCAUUGUUUAGAGGUAGGUUUCUGCGGAACCAAAGCUUUGUACAAGAUGAAAAGCCAAGUUCUACUGCAACAAAAGAGUUGGGGCUAUUGAGGCAAAGUAACACUGUAUCUGAUCUAAGGAAAGGGUUUCUGUCUGGAUCAGAUGACGAUGAACAAACUCUUGAUGGGCCUCAGUCUGAUACCUCAUCUGACAUUGACAUUAAAGAUCAUCGAGAAAACUUUCAGCAGUUACUAGGUGAUAUUGGUAGUGGAUUUCAGACCACUAGUACCGAAAGUAACGCUAAAACACGUCGAAGUCCCGGUGUAUUUUAUGCUUCUAUACAAAAAAGUCAUGAACGAGUUUUGGUAAACGAGGUACGGCAACAAUCACCAACCCAGGAUUUUGAAAACAGGGAUCCGGGUCAAGACCAGGACAGCUAUUUGGAAAUUAAUCAUGGUGAUCAUCCAGUCGAGACGUCUCAACGAGCUUUGAAGCUUGAAAACCCAACGCAAGCUCAGUUUCAGCCUAAACGAUGUAGAAGUCCCAGAGAAUAUGAGAUUCUUGUAGAAGAAAGGCAUGAAAGAGGUUUGGAAAAUGGGUUAGAGAAACAAUCACCACCAACAGAGAUUAUUGAAAACAAGGACCAGGACCGGGAUCAGAAUGGUUUAGUGGAAUGUAACCAUAGGGCUCCUCAUAUCGAACCUUCUGAACAAAUCUUGGAGCUUGAAAGCGCAGCACAAUGGCAGUAUCAGCUCACUGCGGAGGAACUACAAGUUGAUGAGGCAUUUGACCAUUUGAAUAAUUCAGAAACCAGUAGAGGGAUUUUGGCCUGUCAAGAUGUUCCUGUUGAAACAGAGAGACAUGAACAAAUUAUAAAAGAAAAUGAUAGUGAAUGGGACGAUUUGACCAAUACCAAGGUAAACAAGGGUUCGUCUGCAAAGUUAACAGAAAAUGAAGUUGAAUCUGUUGAAGAAAGGCAUGGAGUUUUGGAAAACGAGGUACAACCACCACCACCACCACCACCUGUUGAAGUUACUGAAAACAGGGACCAGGACCAGGAUGGCUCAGUGGAAAGAAGCCAUGGUGCUUAUUAUAUCGAACCAUCUCAACGAACUUUGGCGAUUGAAAUCCCAGCACGUGGUCAGUAUCUGUUAAGCAUGCAGGAACUAGAAGUUAACGAGUCACUUGACCAUCGUUCAUUAACCAGUUCAGAAACCUCAUCUUUGCGAGAAGGUUCUGUAGAAACAGAAGUGUGGCAGGAGCCAACUAUAGAAGAAAAUGGUAGUGAAUGGGAUCAGUUGACAAAUACUGAGAUAUUUGAGAGUUCGGAUGCAAAUUCAGUUAGAAAUGAAGAUGAAUGGUACCAAGAAGCAGCAGGUAAUGAUUUUCAAGAAUCACUUGAGAAUUGGUGUGGUGUAGGAACUUCUUAUCAGGAAUCUCCUUUGGUGGUUACAACAAGCGUAUUCUAUACCUCUGGUGAUGAUAACGGAAACAGGCCAGAGCUUCGAGAACUUAUGAACAGGAGAAGGGUAUCUAAUCUUCUUCAAAGUGAUUUCCGUGUGAGAUUGGAUCAAGUGGUACAAUCCUAUGCGGAACGCCGAGAUCAGGCCUUAGAAUCUAAUGAUGACUGGAUGCUUGAUCAGGAGCAGCAACAUCUUGAUCAGCAGAGUGUAGAUGAAAAUGAGGAUGUUACCGAGACAGUUGAAUUAUCAGAAGUUGCUUACCCUGACAUUCAUCAGCAUUCUGGAGUUGAAUGGGAUAUCAUCAAUGGGCUACGUUUUGAUAUGGCUAAGCUUCAAGAACGUAUGAAUAGUAUGCAGAGUACUCUGGAGACGUGCAUCAGCAUGCAACUUGAGUUGCAACGAUCAAUGCAACAAGAGGUUUCAUCAGCUUUAAGUCGUUUGUCCACUUCUGGCGAGAGUAGUUUACAAACUUGCUCCCUUUGUUGUGACAACAAUAUUAAAGAUGACUCUUCACCCGAUAGGUCUGGACAUGUGUACGUAUGCUCAAACUGUGCUGAGAAAGUAAACUGGUCAAAGUUAAAAGAAAGUGUUAGGCACCCGUAAGCUGAGGUGAACACAUACAGUUAUUAUACAAAUUUAACACCAUAAAAUGGAAACUUAGCACCUGGAAUAACGAGGCAGAGAAUUUCCGAUGAGAUGCCCAUGCUUGGCCAUAUUGUGUUGUUGAAUGACACACCGCUUAGUUUUGAGAUAAUGUCAUGAUGAUACGUCACCAAGAUAAUGUUGCCAAGUCUUGAAGCUUCUAUUACAGUCCCUAUUAGUCAAACGUUCAUGAUAUUCUUUAAACAUUGACUUGUAAUUCAUACAUCAAUAGCUCUUUUACUACAUGAAAUAUGAUACCCAGCUCUAGUUGCAACA